GACCUCUUCGGUGGCAUAAGUGGUUAGAGCGUCUGCCUCGGUAGUGGAAGAUCAUGGAUUCGAAUCCCAUUCAAGUCA